rnacentral:lncRNA from 1 species
UCCUGUAAAAUUAAAAGCAUUUUACAAGUAUCCAAUAUAUAAUGGUACAGAGUAAACAUUUCCAUUCACAAAAUUAGGGGCAUAGGAAGAAAGGAGAGGACCAAAGCAAGACCGAAAUCCAGCUGGGCAAACAGGUCCUGUAGCUCCAUGUCUGGCAUCUGGUUCACAUGGCAUUGUGAUAUUCUCUCCAAAGGGCUGUGUAAAUCCCAAAUAAUUUAUAUAGAUACUCCCCAUUCAAGAAAAUGGAGGUACCUCCCCACCCCUCAGGUGUGGGUGCACAGGAGGUCUUUCUUCCAAGGAGUACAGCAUAGAAAAGAGGAACAACAACGGAACAAUAAAGCGGUGUUGUUGUCAUAGUAGCACGCCCUGACAAACACCACCUGGGCCAGGUGAUCCAAGGUGAGUCAACAAAGGAAUGUCAUGUUAACAGCGUUCACCCUGGACAUGAUGUCCUGGGAAUGGCAUUUUGGCUCCGGGAUCCUCCUUCCUCAAAGCCUUAACUCUGAGGAAAACAACAGAAAGACCAAGACUAAUAGGGCAUCCUACAAAAUACCUGACUGGUACUGCUCAAAACUGCC